rnacentral:lncRNA from 1 species
GAGAAUGUGCCGAAGAUUGCAUGGUCAAUGGCUCCCUCGUCAAGGCCAAAACAAGGGUGCUGGUUAACGUGUAUGCCAUAAUGAGAGACCCUGAGUUGUGGGCUAAUCCUGAUGAGUUCAUGCCUGAGAGGUUCCUGGAGAGAUCUGGUGAGAAAAUUGGCGAGCAUCAAAUGGAAUUUAAGGGUCAGAAUUUUCGGUACCUUCCAUUUGGGAGCGGGCGCAGAGGAUGCCCCGGUGCAUCACUUGCAAUGCUAGUGAUGCAUGCAGCUGUGGGAGCAUUGGUUCAGUGCUUCGAUUGGAAAGUCAAGGAUGGGGAGAAGGUUG